AACAAAUAAUCGAUUAAAGCUAUAGUGCGUAGUUUGUCCCCCCCCAUGAGAAAUUCUAUGUAAUGACAACACCGCUGUUGUUGCUUCCAC